GUGGGGAAUUUUGGACAAUGGGCGAAAGCCUGAUCCAGCAAUGCCGCGUGUGUGAAGAAGGCCUUCGGGUUGUAAAGCACUUUUGGCAGGGAAGAAACAGUGCGUGCUAAUACCAUGCGCGAAUGGCGGUACCUGCAGAAUAAGCACCGGCUAACUACGUGCCAGCAGCCGCGGUAAUACGUAGGGUGCAAGCGUUAAUCGGAAUUACUGGGCGUAAAGCGUGCGCAGGCGGCUUUGUAAGACGGAUGUGAAAGCCCCGGGCUCAACCUGGGAAGUGCAUUCGUGACUGCAAGGCUAGAGUGUGUCAGAGGGAGGUGGAAUUCCGCGUGUAGCAGUGAAAUGCGUAGAGAUGCGGAGGAACACCGAUGGCGAAGGCAGCCUCCUGGGAUAACACUGACGCUCAGGCACGAAAGCGUGGGGAGCAAACAGGAUUAGAAACCCUUGUAGUCC
rnacentral:rRNA from 1 species